AUCGGAGAAGAUCGGCCUUCAAUCAACAGAGAAAACCCUAGGUCCAACACCGGAAACCCUAGGUUCUGAAACUCACCGGAAUAAAGUCACAGACGCAGGAAAAUCACCCAAAGCGUCCAUCAAGCAAAGAGAAAGUCAUCGGAUAACACCAAAGCUCUAGGUCCAAAAGUCAGAAAACCCUAGAAUUUGAAGAACUCGUCGGAAUAAACCCAGGGAUGCUGGAAAAUUACCUAAAACACCCGCUGAUACAAAAUCCGAACCUCGAAUGACAGGAAAACUUCGAUUAUCCGCUCAACAAUCGUUGAAAAAUCUCCAAACAGUAUCUCUCACCGAUAACCAUAGGAAAAGCUUCAGCAAAAGCUUCGAACAGGAUCGAUAACACGCAACCGAGAACGAUCCGAAGAUCAUCCGGCUCUGAUACCAUGAAAACCUGAAGAUUAAGCUAAAGAACAUGGAGAAUAUAGUGAGAGAAAUAAGAGAGAGGAAGGAGCAGUUGAGAGAACACUCCAGAAGAGAGAGAAUUUUAUUAAGCAAAAUGAAGGCAAAAUAAAAUCCGUAUCUACAAAAUAUCUGCCCCUCCACUAUAUACACAUUUCACUAUUGGGUCGGGUCGGGUGAGCCGGCCCAAUACUAAAUAACUGUGGGCUCAGAUACACAGUCCAGCAGCAGCAAUCAUCAUAGCCCAUUACAAGGUAUACCAUGAGUAUACAGUAAAUAUACA
rnacentral:lncRNA from 1 species